rnacentral:rRNA from 1 species
AAGCCUUGUUGGGUAGCCUGGGAUGUGAUGCCAAAACACAAACACAUGGGGGGCCUUGGAUUCUGGGAUCUGGAGACAUUCAACCUUGCUUUAUUAGCAAGACAGGCUUGGCGCUUGCUACUGAAUUCCACAUCUUUGAGUGCCCAAAUUAUAAAAGCGGUUUAUUCCCAUGAAACAACGCUUCUUGAAGCAACACUUGGGUCAUAUCCAUCCUAGAUUUGGAGGGCUAUUCUGGACGGACGUGACAUCAUGAUGCAAGGUAUUAUCCGGAGAAUCGGCAACGGAGAAGCUAAAAAUAUUUGGGACACUAAUUGGAUACCCGGGUUGAACGUGAAGAGGCCGGUUACGUCUCUAACACCCACCCCCCGACCAGAGUUUCAGAACUGA